rnacentral:rRNA from 1 species
CGAGGCAAAGCCGCGAGGCGGAGCGAAUCGCUAAAAGCCGUCCCAGUUCGGAUUGCAGGCUGCAACCCGCCUGCAUGAAGUUGGAAUCGCUAGUAAUCGCGGAUCAGCAUGCCGCGGUGAAUACGUUCCCGGGCCUUGUACACACCGCCCGUCACACCACGAGAGUUUACAACACCCGAAGUCAGUGGCCUAACCGCAAGGAGGGAGCUGCCUAAGGUGGGGUAGAUGAUUGGGGUGAAGUCGUAACAAGGUAUC